rnacentral:piRNA from 1 species
UGUAGCCAAAAUGCUUCUAUUAUAGUCAG